UACGUAGGUGGCAAGCGUUGUCCGGAUUUACUGGGCGUAAAGGAUGCGUAGGCGGACAUUUAAGUCAGAUGUGAAAUACCCGAGCUUAACUUGGGUGCUGCAUUUGAAACUGGGUGUCUAGAGUGCAGGAGAGGUAAGUGGAAUUCCUAGUGUAGCGGUGAAAUGCGUAGAGAUUAGGAAGAACACCAGUGGCGAAGGCGACUUACUGGACUGUAACUGACGCUGAGGCAUGAAAGCAUGGGGAGCAAAAGGG
rnacentral:rRNA from 1 species